UGGGGAAUAUUGGGCAAUGGAGGCAACUCUGACCCAGCAACGCCGCGUGAAUGAAGAAGGUCUUCGGAUUGUAAAGUUCUUUAGUGAGGGACGAAUAAAUGACGGUACCUCGAGAAUAAGCCACGACUAACUACGUGCCAGCAGUCGCGGUAAUACGUAGGUGGCAAGCGUUGUCCGGAUUUACUGGGUGUAAAGGGCGUGUAGCCGGGUCGGUAAGUCAGAUGUGAAAUCUACGGGCUCAACUCGUAAACUGCAUUUGAAACUGCUGAUCUUGAGUAUCGGAGAGGCAAUCGGAAUUCCUAGUGUAGCGGUGAAAUGCGUAGAUAUUAGGAGGAACA
rnacentral:rRNA from 1 species